rnacentral:rRNA from 1 species
UCUCAGUUCGGAUUGUAGGCUGAAACUCGCCUACAUGAAGCUGGAGUUACUAGUAAUCGCAGAUCAGAAUGCUGCGGUGAAUGCGUUCCCGGGUCUUGUACACACCGCCCGUCACACCACGGGAGUUGGAGACGCCCGAAGCCGAUUAUCUAACCUUUUGGAAGAAGUCGUCGAAGGUGGAAUCAAUAACUGGGGUGAAGUCGUAACAAGGUAGCCGUAUCGGAAGGUGCGGCUGGAUCACCUCCUUUCUAAGGA